rnacentral:rRNA from 1 species
UACGUAGGGUGCAAGCGUUAAUCGGAAUUACUGGGCGUAAAGCGUGCGCAGGCGGUUAUGCAAGACAGAUGUGAAAUCCCCGGGCUUAACCUGGGAACCGCAUUUGUGACUGCAUAGCUGGAGUACGGCAGAGGGGGAUGGAAUUCCGCGUGUAGCAGUGAAAUGCGUAGAUAUGCGGAGGAACACCGAUGGCGAAGGCAGUCCCCUGGGCCUGUACUGACGCUGAGGCGCGAAAGCGUGGGUAGCAAACGGG